AGAAAUGAAGACUUUCUCAGAGAAGGAAAAAGCAUAAAAUACAUUGACAGAAGACCCUACUCUAAAAGAACUGUUAAAUGAAGUUCUUUAAACAGAAGGAGAUACACUUAGAAAGAGAUCUGGAAAUGGAAUAAAGACAAAAGCUCAUCUACCUCGCCUGCUUCAUUAUUUAAGAUCCCAAAAGCAUGUGAUCUAUCCUGGAGAAUGUUCCAUGUGCACUUGAGAAGAAUGUGUAUUCCGCUGCUUUUGGAUAGUAUGCUCUAUAGCAGGGCUCCCCAACUGGUCCGUGGCCUGUUAGGAACCAGGCCGUGUGGCAGGAGGUGAGCAGCAGGCGAGCGAGCGAAGCUUCAUCUGUAUUUACAGCCACUCCCCAUCGCUCGCAUUACCACCUGAACUCCGCCUCCUGUCAGCAUUAUGCCUCUACACAAGCCAACUCAAAGCAUGAACUUCUCUAGGGACCCUUUGGACAGACUGACUCCCAUUACUGAAAUCCCUGUCAUGCCAACAUUUCAGUUUUGGAGUUACAGCUUAGAAGCUUAACAACUUUUCUAUUUAAACGACAUGGGUUUAAUUACAAUUCAUCUACCUGGAAUUAGGAGAGAAAAGAAGAACUUCUAAAGCACAAAUUGGUGAAUGAACUACAUAAGAAGUUCAAGGAUUUAACAGCUGUUAAAUGCAGUCUAAUAAUGAGAUUACAGAGAAUGAGAAUGAAGGAAAAUUUAUUAAGAAAAUAAGUAUCAUGCAUAACUAUUAAGGUUUGGCAUGUCACAGAGCAAAAUCUACUCUUAAGCUGAGCUGAUAUGCAGAUGCCCUAAACAGCUGAACUGACUUGACUUGUCAAAUAUUGAAAUCCUUCCACAAUGGUUGGUAAACAGGAGAGGAAUCACUCCCAGUUAAAAGACCAAAAGCAUUCCCCUGAAAGAACAAAGAGUGAAACAGACCUCUUCAUUCUAAUAGACACUGAUUUCAAAAAGGAGAUAAUGAAAAUACUGGAGGAGUAAGAAAAACUAUCGACAGAAAUGCAGAGUACUGUAAAAGGGAACUAGAAACUAUAAAGAGGAACCACGAAAAAUUAGAAAACUCAUCUGCAGAGAUGAAAGCUAAGGGCAAUGAAUAGCAGAAUGAAUAAUGCAGAAGAAUGAAUAAGUGACCUGGAACACAGAAUAAUGGAAAUCACCCAACAAGGACAGCAGACAGAAAGCCAAAUGAAAAAAAAUGAAAGCAAUGUGAGAGACCUAUGGGAUAAUAUAAACCAUGCCAAUCUACACAUAAUAGGGAUUCUAGAAGGGGAAGAAAGAGAAAAGGGGAUCAAAAAUGUAUUUGAAAAAAUUAUGUCUGAAAAAUUCCCAAACCUAAAGAAGGAAACACAUCCAGGUACAGGAAGCACAGAGGGUCCCAAACAAUAUAAACCGAAACAGACCUACACCAAGACAUAUUACAAUAAAAAUAGCAAAAGUUAAAAGAGAGAAUUCUAAAGGCAGCAAGAGGAAAACAAAGAGUUCAUUACAAGGAAACCCCCAUAAGGCUAUCAGGUGAUUUCUCUACAGAAACGCUGCAGGCCAGAAGGGAGUGGCAAGAUAUAUUCAAAGUCCUGAAAGGGAAAAAUAUGCAACCUAGGAUACGCUACCUAGCAAGAUUAUCAUUUAGAAUAAAAAGAGAGAUAAAUAAUUUCUCAGACACACAAAAACUAAAAUACUAAAUCUAUCCUAAAGGAAAUAUUGAAAGGUCUUCUCUAAAUAGAAAAGAAGUAAGAAUCUAUAGGAAAGAAAAAAAAAUCACAAUUGGAAAGUAAAUUACUUAAAUAAGCCAGGACACAGACUAAAGAAAAAAAUCCAAAAAUCUGUGUGAAAAUGAUGGUAACCACAAUGAACAGCAAAAGGAUGGACAAGAUGUAGAACAGGACAACAAAAUCAUAAAAUGUGGGGGAGAAGAGUAAAAAAGUGUAGAUUCUUUUUCUUUCCUAGAAUGAAUGUGUUUCAGCCUAUAUGACUACCAGUCUAAGGCAAGUAGAUAUAGGAAGGGGUUAACAUUCUUGAAAAAUAGGGUAACCACAAGUCAAAAACAUAGAGUCACAGAAACCAAAAAGAAGAGAACAUAAGUAUAAUACCAAAGAAAAUCAUGAAACCACAAAAGGAAAAAUAAGGGACAAAGAAAAAAUAUAAAAUCAACAGGAAAACAAGGUUUAAAAUGGCAAUAAAUACGUAUCUAUCAGUAAUUACCUUAACUGUCAAUGGACUAAAUCCUCCAAUCAAAAGACACAGAGUGGCAGAUUGGAAAAAAAACCAAGAGCCUACAAUAUGCUGCCUACAAGAGACCCACUUUAGGGCAAAGGACACAUAGAGAUUGAAAGUGAGGGGAUGGAAAAAGGUAUUUCAUGCAAAAGGAAAUGACAAGAAAGUGGGGUUGCAAUACUCAUAUCAGACAAAAUAGACUUUAAGACAAAAGCCGUAAAGAAAGAUAAAGGAGGAUACUAUACAAUGAAAAAAGGAUCAAUACAAGAGGGUUUUACAUCAACAUAUAUGCACCUAAUAUAGAACACCCAUGUACGUAAAACAAAUACUAACAGAAAUACAGGGAGAGGGACUUCCCUGAUGGUGCAGUGGUUAAGAAUCCACCUGCCAAUGCAGGGGACAUGGGUUUGAGCCCUGGUCCAGGAAGAUCCCACAUGCUGUGGAGCAACUAAGCCCAUGCACCACAACUACUGAGCCUGCAUGCCUAGAGCCCAUGCUCCACAACGAGAAGCCACUGCAAUGAGAAAUGAGAAGCCCACGCACAGCAACAAAGAGUAGCCCGUUCCUACUCACUGCAACUAGAGAAAGCCCGUGUGCAGCAACGAAGACACAAUGAAGCUAAUAAGUAAAUAAAUAAAUAAAUAAAUUUAUAAAAAAGAAAAAGAAAUAAAGGCAGAAAUUGACAAGACUACAAUAAUAAUAGGAGAUUUUAACACCCCGCUCACAUCAAUGGACAGAUCUUCCAGACAGAGAAUCAAUAAGACAACAGAGAUACUAAAUGAUACAGCAGAACAGUUGGACUUAAUUGAUAUUGUCAGUACGUUACAUCCAAAAAAACCAGAAUACACAUUCUUUUCAAGUGCACAUGGAAUUCUCUAGAACUGACCACAUACCAGGGCAUAAAACAAGCCUCAACAAAUUUAAGAGUAUAGCAAUUAUCUCAAGCAUCUUUUCUGACCACAACGGCAUGAAACUAGAAAUUAACCACAGAAAAUAAAUGAGAAAAAAAUGAUUACAUGGAGACUAAACAACAUGGUACUAAAAAUCCAGUGGGUCAAUGAGGAAAUCAAAGAGGAGAUUUAAAAAUACCUUGAGACAAAUGACAAUGAAAACACAACCAUACAAAAUCUACAGAAUGCAACAAAAGCAGUUCUUAGAAGUUCAUAGCAGUACAGGCUUUCCUCAAAAAACAAGAAAAAUCUCAAACAACCUAACCUACCACAAAGAAUUAGAAAAAGAAGAACAAACAAAACCUAAAGUCAGCAGAAGGAAUGAAAUAAUAAAGAUCAGAGAGGAAAUAAAUAAAAGACAUUUAAAAAAAUAGAAAAAAUCAAUAAAACUAAGAGCUGGUGCUCUGAAAGGAUAAACAACAUUGACAAACCUCUUGCCAAGCUCUUCAAGGAGAAAGAGAGAACUUAUUUUAUUAAACAAAAUAAGAAGUGAAAAAGGAAACAUAACAGCUGACACCAUAGAAAUACAAAAAACCAUAAGGGAAUACUAUGAACAAUUAGAAAAGCCAAAACCCACAUGAUCUUCUGAAUAGAUGCAGAAAAGGCAUUGACAAAUUCAACAUCCACUCAUGAUAAAAACUCUUACCAAAAUGGGUGCAGAGGGAACAUACCUCAAGAUAAAAAAAGCUAUUUAUGACAAAUCCACAGCCAAUAUAAUACUCAACAGUGAAAAGCUGAAAGCAUUCCUGCUAAAAUCUGGAACAAGACAAGGAUGCCCACUCUCACCUCUUCUAUUCAACACAGUAUUGGAAGUCCUAGCCGCAGCAAUCAGAUAAGAAAAAGAGAUAAAAGAUAUCCAGAUUAGGGCUUCACUGGUGGCACAGUGGUUAAGAAUCCGCCUGCCAACGCAGGGGACAUGGGUUCGAGCCCUGGUCCGGGAAGAUCCCACAUGCCGUAGAGCAGCUAAGCCUGUGCGCCACAACUACUGAGCCUGCACUCUAGAGCCUGCCAGCCAUGACUACUGAGCCUGCGUGCUACAAAUACUGAAGCCCGCACACCUAGAGCCUGUGCUCCACAACAAGAGAAGGCCCCACAAUGAGAAGCCCGCGCACCACAACGAAGCCACCGCUCGCCGCAACUAGAGAAAGCCCGCGCGCAGCAACGAAGACCCAGUGCAGCCAAAAAUAAAAAUAAAUUUAAAAAAUUAAAAAAAAAAAGAUAUCCAGAUUGGUAGGGAAGAGGUAAAAUUGUCAUUAUAUGCAGAUGAUAUGAUACUACAUAUAGAAAACCCUAAACGGUCCACACAUAAACUACUAGAACAGAUAAGCGAAUUCGGCAAGGUAGCAGGAUACAACAGUAACAUACAGAAAUCGGUUGCAUUUCUUUACACCAACAGUGAAAUAUGAGAAAGGGAAUGUAAAAAAAAAAUCUUUUAAAACUGCAACCCAAAACAUAAAUUACUUUGGAAUAAACCUCACCAAGCAGAUGAAAGACUUACACACUGAGAACUAUAAAACACUGAUAAAGGAAACUGAGAUGAUUCAAAGAAAUGGAAAGAUAUCCCAUGCUUUUGGAUUGGAAGAAUUAAUGUUGUUAAAAUGGUCAUACUACCCAAAGCAAUCUACAGAUUUAAUGUGAUCCCUAUCAAAUUACCCAUGAUAUUUUUCACAGAACUAGAAAAAAUAACCCUAAAAUUCAUGUGGAUCCAUAAAAGACCCAGAAUUGCCACAGCAAUCCUGAAGAAAAAGAACAAAGUAGAAGGCAUAACCCUUCCAGAGUUCAGACAAUAUUAGAACGCUAGAGUAAUCAAAACAGUGUGGUACUGGCACUAAAACAGACAUACGGAUGAAUGGAACGGAAGAGAGCCCAGAAAUAAACCCACACACCUAUGGUCAAUUAAUCUUUGUCAGAGGAGGCAAGAAUAUACAAUGGGGAAAAGACAUUCUCUUCAACAAGUGGUGUUGGGAAAUCUGGACAGCUGCAUGUAAAUCAAUGAAGUUAGAACACACCCUCCCAUCACACACAAAAAUAAACUCAAAAUGGCUUAAAGACUUAAACAUAAGACAUGACACCAUAAAACUCUUAGAAGAGAACACAGGCAAAACAAUCUCUGACAUAAAUUGUACCAAUGUUUUCUUAGGUCAGUGUCCCAUGGCAAUAGAAGUAAAAACAAAAAUAAACAAAUGGGAUCUAAUCAAACCUACAUGCUUUUACACAGCAAAGGAAACCAUAAACAAAAUGGAAACACAACCUACAGAAUGGGAGAAAAUAUUUGCAAAUGAUGUGACCAACAAGGGCUUGAUUUCCAAAUUAUACAAACAGCUCAUACAACCCAAAAAAACAAACAACCCAACAGAAAAAUGGGCAGAAGACCUAGACACUUCUCCAAAGAAGAAAUACAGAUGGCUAAUAGGCACAUGAAAAGAUGCUUAACAUCGCUAAUUAUUAGAGAAAUGCAAAUCAAAACUACAAUGAGGUAUCACCUCACACCAGUCAGAAUGGCCAUCAUUAAAAUGUCUACAAAACAAAUGCUGGAGAGGGUGUGGAGAAAAGGGAACCCUCCUACACUGUUGGUGGGAAUGUAAGUUGGUGCAGCCACUAUGGAGAACAGUAUGGAGGUUCCUCAGAAAACUAAAAAUAGAAUUACCAUAUGAUCCAGCAGUCCCACUACUGGGCAUACAUCUGGACAAAACUAUUAUUCAAAAAGAUACAUGCACCCCUAUGUUCAUAGCAGCAGUAUUCACAAUAGCCAAGACAUGGAAACAACCUAAAUGUCCAUCGACAGAUGAAUGGAUAAAGAUGUGGUACAUAUAUACACUGAAAUACUACUCAGCCAUAAAAAAGAAUGAAAUAAUGCCAUUUGCAGCAACAUGGAUGCAAGUAGAGAUUAUCAUACUAAGUAACUCAGAAAAAGACAAAUACCAUAUGAUAUCACUUAUAUGUGGAAUCUAAAAUAUGACACAAAUGAACCUACCUAUGAAACAGAAACAGAAUCACAGACAUAGAGAACAGACU